AUUGAACGCUGGCGGCAGGCCUAACACAUGCAAGUCGAGCGGUAGCACAGGAGAGCUUGCUCUCGGGUGACGAGCGGCGGACGGGUGAGUAAUGUCUGGGAAACUGCCUGAUGGAGGGGGAUAACUACUGGAAACGGUAGCUAAUACCGCAUAACGUCGCAAGACCAAAGUGGGGGACCUUCGGGCCUCAUGCCAUCAGAUGUGCCCAGAUGGGAUUAGCUAGUAGGUGGGGUAAUGGCUCACCUAGGCGACGAUCCCUAGCUGGUCUGAGAGGAUGACCAGCCACACUGGAACUGAGACACGGUCCAGACUCCUACGGGAGGCAGCAGUGGGGAAUAUUGCACAAUGGGCGCAAGCCUGAUGCAGCCAUGCCGCGUGUAUGAAGAAGGCCUUCGGGUUGUAAAGUACUUUCAGCGAGGAGGAAGGCAUUAAGGUUAAUAACCUUAGUGAUUGACGUUACUCGCAGAAGAAGCACCGGCUAACUCCGUGCCAGCAGCCGCGGUAAUACGGAGGGUGCAAGCGUUAAUCGGAAUUACUGGGCGUAAAGCGCACGCAGGCGGUUUGUUAAGUCAGAUGUGAAAUCCCCGGGCUCAACCUGGGAACUGCAUUUGAAACUGGCAAGCUUGAGUCUUGUAGAGGGGGGUAGAAUUCCAGGUGUAGCGGUGAAAUGCGUAGAGAUCUGGAGGAAU
rnacentral:rRNA from 1 species